UCAACGACAUCAUCAUCAUCAUCAACAUCAUCGUCGUCGUCGUCGUCGCAUGGUGUUAAUGCAGUGGUUCAUAUGGGUGGCAGCCUUAACGGUUGCAACGGCACCGCUGUUAGUCGCCUAUCGCAAUCGACGGGCAUGUCGCCACGCGAAUUAUCGGAAAACGAUGAUCUCGCCACAUCGUUAAUAUUGGAUCCGCAUUUGGGCUUUCAGACGCACAAAAUGAAUAUACGCUUUAGGCCCCUCAAAGUAGAUACACAGCAGCUGAAAGCGAUUGUCGAUGAAUUUAUACACACCCAGAACUACGACAUUGCCAUACAGCGCAUCUAUGAUGGGCCCUGGAUACGGCGUCAUCUCAAGAAUAAGAAUAAGAUAGCUACCAAGCGGCUUCACGAUCAUAUUGUACGCUAUUUGCGUGUGUUCGACAAGGACAGCGGCUUUGCGAUCGAGGCAUGCUAUCGUUAUUCGCUGGAAGAGCAACGGGGUGCAAAGAUUAAUUCAACGAAACGUUGGUCGAAGAACGAUAAAAUUGAAUGCCUGGUCGGUUGCAUUGCCGAAUUAACAGAAGCCGAGGAGGCGGCGCUGUUGCAUUCGGGCAAAAAUGAUUUCUCUGUGAUGUAUAGUUGCCGCAAGAACUGUGCUCAACUGUGGCUAGGACCCGCCGCCUACAUCAAUCACGAUUGCCGCGCGAACUGCAAAUUCCUCGCCACUGGCCGGGAUACGGCAUGUGUGAAGGUGUUGCGUGACAUUGAGGUGGGCGAGGAGAUUACGUGUUUCUAUGGCGAGGAUUUCUUUGGCGAUAGCAAUCGAUAUUGCGAGUGCGAGACGUGCGAGAGACGUGGCACAGGCGCCUUUGCUGGCAAACAUUCAACGAAUCAGUUAAAUGAGGCAAUGCUCGGCUUGACCAACGGUUUAGGCUUGGGGCUGGGUCUGGGCGCUGCCGGCGGCGCCAAUGGCGGUGGCUAUCGUUUGCGUGAGACGGACAAUCGCAUCAAUCGUAUCAAAAGUCGCGCCAACAGUACCAAUAGCACCUCCAAUAGCAACAGUAACGACAGCAGCAGCAAUGUCGGCAACAGCAACAUCAAUGGGACUGCGGCACCAACAGCAGCAGCGGCAGCGGCAACAGCUGCUGUGGGUAGGCCCAAGAGCAGCAGCCUGGAGCUGAAUGCAGUUGCCUUGUCGCUGGACAAGAAACUGCCCAAUGUAGUCGUCUCACCGCUGACCAUGAAGGAGCUGCGACAGAAGGGCAUGACCAAAUACGAUGCCGAAAUGAUAAUGGCCAAUGCGGCCUACCAUCAGCAGCAGCAACAUCACCAUCCGCAUCAGCAACACCAUCAGCAGCAACAUCAUCAUCAUCAUCAUCUGCAUCAUUUUCACACACACCUGCCACACACAACAGGAGCAGCAGCGGCUGCUGCAACAGCCAGCAGCAAUGCUGCAGAGGCCGCAAGCCAAGCGACGGCUAUGCAAAAGCCACAAGCAGCCGCCGAGCUGAGCAAUGGACGAGCUGCUAUUGCUGCUGCAACGUUGCGCAAAUCAAUGCGUGUGAAUAGCACCAGCAGCACCAUAUCGACGGCAUCCACUGAUGAGUCGCCACUAUCCAGCUAUGCUAGCAUAGUACCAACGACAACAGCAGCAGCAGCAGCAGCCGCUGUUGCAGCAACAACAACAAUUGCAACCAUUGCCAAAGCGCCUGUAGUCCUGGUACCGCGCUAUAAACCAGCUGCUGUGGCUGCAGCACUGCAACAGCAGCAGUUACAACAACAACAACAACAACAGCAGCAACAGCAGCAACAACAACAACAGCAGCAGCAGCAGCAACGCCAGCAACAGCGGCAGCUAAGACGCAGCGAGCGUCAAACGCAGCGUCAAAAGGCCAAUCAGGACACCGUACAGCUGCUAGGCAAAUAUCUAACGGAUAGUGAAAGUAGCGAUACGGAUUUGCAACACCAACAGCAGCAAAAGCACCAUUGCAUCGAGGCAGCCCCAGCAACCACGCAGGAGAAGCGCGUAACACGCAACAGCGCAGGACGUGCGGCAGCAGCAGCAGCCGCAGCAGCAACAGCAGCAACAGCAACAACAACUGCCAGCAACAGUAACAGCAGCAACAUUAAAACAACGAUUACAAAUUGUAAUAAUUUAAAUAUUAGUAAUAGCUGUAGGAAUAAUGUUAGCGCUAGAUUUAGUGAUCGCAAACUAAAACCGAGCGAGCCGUUGGCAGCGGCAGCGACAGCAGCCGCAGCAACGGCAACGACGGCUUCUUUAGCAAACAUGAUGAUGCCCUCGUCGUCGAAUUGCUCGGCGGCAGGUGAACAGCAGCAGCAGCAGCAACAGGCAACGGCAGCAACAGCAACAGCAACACGUAGUCGCAGCAGCAGUCCCGCUUAUAAAAAGAACCUAAUGUCCAGCUUUGAGCUGGCCAGCGUAGGCAAGCGUCAAGCGGCAACAGUAGCAGCAGCAGCAACAACUGUUGAUGAGCCACCACACAAACAAAAGCGCAGUCGACGUGCCGCUGCGUUGGCAGCUGCUGAGCAUAUACAUUGCGAAGCUGUUGGCGGUGUGCUGCAACGCAAGCGGCAACAGACUGCAACCACAAUAACCACAAUUAGCAGCAGCAGCAGCACUGUGGAGCCGCUUUUGAAGACGCCGGAGCGACGGCUAAAGCUGACACUGAGAAUGAAACGCUCGCCGAUACUCGAUGAGGUUUUCGAGCUGGGUACCAGUCUGGGCGAGGAUCGUCAACAUGCGUUGCACAAUGGACAUGCUGCUGGCAGUCGGACGGGCCAAGCGGGCAACAAUACGCACAGCAGCAGCAAUAACGGCAAUCAAAACAACAGCAGCAACAACAAUCAAAACAACAGCAGCACCAGCAACAACAAUGCCAGCAGCAGCAGCGGCGUUGAAUAUGAAAUAUUGCGCAUGGAGGGCAUUUCAGAGCAUGGCAACGAUGAUGAUGAUGAGGAGGAGGAUGAGGAGGAGGAGGAGGAGGAAGAAGAAGAUGAUGAUGAUGAUGAUGCUGAGGACGAAGAAGCGGCGGACGAGCUGGAGGACGAGGAGGAUGAAGAACAGGAUAUAGACCAGGAGGCAGGAGAAUCAGAACACCAAGAAAAGCAGCCACUAGAUGCCAGCAACUGGCGCCAUAAAGAAAAAUCACGACGCAGUCGUCGGAGUGGCUUGAACACCAUCAGCAGCACACCACCGCCAGCGACAGUUGCUGCCAGUUCCAACAGUAUCUAUGGCACACCGCAAAAAAAGCGCCUGCGCUUAAUCUUUGGCAAUGAGUCUCAUACAAUAGACAUUCCACCAACAAAUACAACAGCAACAAUAGCAACAGAUGCGUCAGCAAAAACUGAUAUCGGCAUCGAUGAGCUCAACAGCAGCAGCGGCGCUGGCAGUGGCGCGAGCGAUGAAUCUUUUAAUGCUUCCUACGCCAGCAGCAGCAGCAGCAGCGGGGCAACCAGCAUGAGUGUCAACAACUCGUCGCUGAAUAGCAACAGUACGCCAACAUCGACAGCAUCCGAUGCAGUUGAAAGGAUUGCAACAACAACACCAACGCCAACAGCAACAACAACCGUAGCUGCUGCUGCAACAACAACAAUUGGUCAGCAGCGAAUGCCUGCAGCCGAUUCACCCACAUCGACAACAUCCAGCGUUAGCUCCUUUCAAUCGGCCUGCACUUCGACGACCAAUUUCUUUACACGCUCCAAAUCGCCCGCUAGCUCCUAUCAGCUGAAUGGCAGCCGAAGUAACAGCAGCUACAUGGCCUACUACCAGCAGCAUCAGCAACAACAACAACAACAACAGCAGCAGCAGCCCACAUUAGGUGGCACCAAACGCUCGGCAGAGCAGGCACAAGCUGUUGUUAGCAGCAGCAGUAGUAGUCACAAUAGCAACAUUCACCAUGCCAACAGUAAUAACAGCAACAGCAACAGCAACAGUAACAGCAUAAACAGCAACAUAAACAACAACAGCAAUAGCAACAGCUCCACAAUUAGCAGCAGCAAUGGCGCAACAAUUGCUGCAAGCAGCGUAUCCAGCACGCACAGCUUUCUGACCAUGCCCAAGCACACCUUUGGCACUUGCGCUUUGCUCGCGCCAACCAGCUUUGCGGGCCUGCAACAGCAACAGCAGGCUUGCAAGCUGUCUGAACAACAGCUCCAGCAGCCAACAUCCUCAUCGCCACAGCUGCACCAGCAACAACAGCAACAUAACAACAAAUAACCAACGACUGAUCUCUAUGCGAAUUGACUGUGCUGCUGCCAUUGCCAACAACAACUGCAACAACAACGACAAAUGAAACCUGCCCUUGCCUGCUGCUAGCUCUGGAGCUGCCGCCACACCGCCCUCUCCUCCUAUGUUAGCAUUAGGUAUCGUCUGCAGAUGGAUAUUUAAAGCAUAAAUGUAGCAAAAAAGCGUGUGUUAAACAAAUUGUUGCAGUUGGUGGCGGUGUUAAUGAUAAUGCAAAUAAGCUUAAUAAUAAUAAUAAUAACAUCAUCAAUCAUAAUUACAAUAGUAACAACAGCAGCAGCAACAAUAUAGUUAAAAAAUUAAGAAUAGAAUUAAAACGCAUACAAAUCAUGUACAGUUAAAAUGAAAACAACAACAAAACAAACAAAAACGAAAUGUAACUGUUAACAAAGUCGAAGCAAAUCAGUGCAACGGCCACUGGAGCAACAACAACUACAACAGCGCAGCCCAAGGCAGCAGCAACAACAGUUGGAAGAGCAACAAAUAUUUAUAUUGCCAUUGAUUGAAGCAGAGGAGCACAUACGAACGGCAAAAGCUCUCUCUUACUACCGUUAUUUUUCACACGUGAACAAAGAAGAAAAACGAAAAAAUAUAAAUAACAACCAUAUAACAACAAAUAUAUAUUCUAAAUGAAAUGCACAUCAAUACAUACACCCAUACACAAGAAUACAUACAAACGCAAUUAGCAGCGGUUUUAGACGCCUUACAACUAAAGUUAAAUUAAUACAAUAUUGAAAAGAAAAAAAAA